CAACUCGUACAGGACGUUAAUGUUUGAAGUACGGCGAGUCGUGAGGGACAUGUGAUGUAAUGACGUCUCCAAGACACAGAGUGGCGCCAGAGAUUAAUCAGCGUUACCGCCAAAAAGCCGUGUCAUUCGUAUUUGAGCAUUUACGCAUUUUAUCAAAAGCAACUGAACUUACAGUCGAUUACAAGUUCAGGUCCUAUCCAUCACAGGACACUCACACAUUGAUUUCAGUGUUAGCAUUGCCAAUGUGAUGAAUUCAAUGUUCAACUUCAACUCUUCGACACAAUGGGAUCAUCAUGGGAGAAUUAUGAUGUCACCUUAAUCCCGGUUUAAUGGGGGUCUCAAGGGUAUCUUGUUUAAGGACAUGCUGUUGUCGCAUGCUGUCUGCACAAAUAACAAGAUGAGAUUUUUGGAGGAUCCAGAGCAACCCCACAGUGUCCCACCUGACUCCGGCCAUGCAACCUGUCUCUCUAGAUGAAAUCCUAACUGUUCCAACUAUCCAUCUUUGGUUUUACACUAUGAAUGCAAUGUUGAAAUUAUCUCAGUCUUCCUCUUUUUGAAUUUAAGGUAAAAUACAUAACUCGACUUUUUGACAUAUUUAGACUUCAUGAAAUUGAUACUCUCAUAUAUAAAUUCAAUACACUUACUAUAUGCAUAAAUAAAGGAAUAUCUGAGACAAAAGUGAUAUCUUUAUCAGAAUUGAUCAAACAAAAGUGUCUAUUUAUUACCUGAGCUGUAAAGGAGCAACAUCUGAGCAAUAAUAUUUUUUACAGUAUGACAGCAUUAAAAGUGUGAUGCUAGAAGAUCUCAAACCAGCUCUGAACUAUGAUAUUAACUUUAUGAAAAUGGAAAUAUUCUGUAUAUUUCACAUAAUUUAAAUAAUGCAUAAUUUAUAAAAGUUUAAUAACACAGCAGAGAUGCAAAGAGAGUCAAUUCUUACCUCGCUGCACCAAUUUAUAAACAACUGCUCCUCUG